UUGGAAGUACGCCUUAGGUGGUCUAAGGCUAGGGACUUCUUGUGUAUAAAAGAGGUCUGGAAUAGAGGUACAAGGACUUGUUUGUGAGGCUUAGGGACUUAGUUCUAACAUCCAUGAACCUUUUUGUAAAAUUUAGGAACGUAUUUAUAAUAUUUAGCCCCAUCAAUGGAAUAAAUAUAAACAACCAUGUCCUCCUCCCUGUAAAUAGAGCUCUAGGGCCUGAAGGAGAGAACUUUUGGUCAUUUGUUCAUUGGCUCACUAGGUGGUAUAAGGCUAGGGACCUCUUGUGUAUAAAAGAGGUCUGGAAUAGAGGUACAAGGACUUGUUUGUGAGGCUUAGGGACUUAGUUCUAACAUCCAUGAACCUUUUUUAAAAUUUAGGAACCUAUUUAUAAUAUUUAGCCCCACGAAUGGAAUAAAUAUAAACAACCACAUCCUCAUCCCUAUAAAUAGAGCUCUAGGGUCCGAAGGAGACAUUAGCUCACUUAUUUACUUGGUUACUUUCUCCCUCCC
rnacentral:lncRNA from 1 species